AUCUGUUCUUAUCAGUUUAAUAUCUGAUACGCCCCCGAUUUGGGGGCAACGUAUUAAAUGCAUUUUUAGAACAGGGAGCCGAAUAAGGGGCUCGCUCCGUUCGCUCCACGCAUCGACCCGGUAUUGCAGCGCCUCCGGGAACGGUGC
ensembl:snRNA U2 U2 spliceosomal RNA